rnacentral:rRNA from 1 species
UACAGAGGGUGCAAGCGUUGUUCGGAAUUAUUGGGCGUAAAGCGCGUGUAGGCGGCUUUGCAAGUCGGGUGUGAAAGCCCUCAGCUUAACUGAGGAAGUGCGCCCGAAACUGCAGAGCUUGAGUACCGGAGAGGGUGGCGGAAUUCCCCAAGUAGAGGUGAAAUUCGUAGAUAUGGGGAGGAACACCGGUGGCGAAGGCGGCCACCUGGACGGAUACUGACGCUGAGACGCGAAAGCGUGGGUAGCGAACAGG